rnacentral:rRNA from 1 species
GACAGAGGGUGCAAACGUUGCUCGGAAUCACUGGGCGUAAAGGGCGUGUAGGCGGGACAGUAAGUCGGGCGUGAAAUCCCUGGGCUCAACCCAGGAACUGCACUCGAAACUACUAUUCUUGAGUGUCGGAGAGGAAAGCGGAAUUCCUGGUGUAGAGGUGAAAUUCGUAGAUAUCAGGAGGAACACCAGUGGCGAAGGGCGGCUUUCUGGACGAUAACUGACG